rnacentral:rRNA from 1 species
AGAGUUUGAUCCUGGCUCAGAAUCAACGCUGGCGGCGUGCCUCAGACAUGCAAGUCGAACGAUUAAAGCUCUCUUCGGAGAGUGCAUAAAGUGGCGCACGGGUGAGUAACACGUAAGUAAUCUACCCUCGGGUGGGGAAUAACAUCGGGAAACCGAUGCUAAUACCGCAUAAUGCAGCGGCACCGCAAGGUGACAGUUGUUAAAGGAGUAAUUCGCCUGAGGAGGAGCUUGCGGCAGAUUAGCUAGUUGGUAAGGUAAUGGCUUACCAAGGCUACGAUCUGUAACCGGUCUAAGAGGACGGUCGGUCACACUGGCACUGAAUAACGGGUCAGACUCCUACGGGAGGCAGCAGUCGGGAAUUUUGGGCAAUGGGCGAAAGCCUGACCCAGCAACGCCGCGUGAAGGAUGAAGUAUUUCGGUAUGUAAACUUCGUAAGAAUAGGAAGAAUAAAUGACGGUACUAUUUGUAAGGUCCGGCUAACUACGUGCCAGCAGCCGCGGUAAUACGUAGGGACCAAGCGUUGUUCGGAUUUACUGGGCGUAAAGGGCGCGUAGGCGGCAAUUCAAGUCAGCUGUGAAAUCUCCGGGCUUAACUCGGAACGGUCAGCUGAUACUGCUUUGCUAGAGUGCAGAAGGGGCAAUCGGAAUUCUUGGUGUAGCGGUGAAAUGCGUAGAUAUCAAGAGGAACACCUGAGGUGAAGACGGGUUGCUGGGCUGACACUGACGCUGAGGCGCGAAAGCUAGGGGAGCAAACGGGAUUAGAUACCCCGGUAGUCCUAGCCCUAAACGAUGAAUACUUGG